GACGAACGCUGGCGGCGCGCUUAACACAUGCAAGUCGAACGGUGAACCAGAGCUUGCUCUGGGGAUCAGUGGCGAACGGGUGAGUAACACGUGGGCAACCUGCCCCAGACUCUGGGAUAACCUCGGGAAACCGAUGCUAAUACCGGAUACGACCACUUCGGACAUCCGACGGUGGUGGAAAGUUUUUCGGUCUGGGAUGGGCCCGCGGCCUAUCAGCUAGUUGGUGGGGUAAUGGCCUACCAAGGCGACGACGGGUAGCCGGCCUGAGAGGGCGACCGGCCACACUGGAACUGAGACACGGUCCAGACUCCUACGGGAGGCAGCAGUGGGGAAUAUUGCACAAUGGGCGAAAGCCUGAUGCAGCGACGCCGCGUGAGGGACGACGGCCUCGG
rnacentral:rRNA from 1 species